GACGUAGGGGGCGAGCGUUGUCCGGAUUUAUUGGGCGUAAAGCGUGCGUAGGCGGCUGCGCAAGUCGGUUGUGAAACCCCGGGGCUCAACCCCGGAACUGCAUCCGAUACUGCGUGGCUAGAGGUAGGUAGGGGAGAUCGGAAUUCCUGGUGUAGCGGUGAAAUGCGCAGAUAUCAGGAGGAACACCGAUGGCGAAGGCAGAGCUCUGGGCCGUAACUGACGCUGAGGAGCGAAAGCGUGGGGAGCGAACAGG
rnacentral:rRNA from 1 species